CUGGUUUUAAAAUGUUCUCAGUAUUUUUGAAAAUGAAAACCAUUUAAAAUCCAUUUCCGUUCAUAGACGUAAUUUCUCAAAAACUUACAUCUAUGAUAAGUGGUGGGGAAAAACCCUUAAUUCAAAAGAACAUAAGACAACUAUUUAAUUUCUAGGUCCAACUACAUUUUACACCAUCAAAGUUUGGCCUCGUUAUCAAAAUGGGCACGAAGUUUCAAUUUUCUCGCAACAGAAACACCUCAGCGCCACAGUGGGUAACAUAUUGGCAA
rnacentral:lncRNA from 1 species